UACGUAGGGUGCAAGCGUUAAUCGGAAUUACUGGGCGUAAAGCGUGCGCAGGCGGUUCUAUAAGACAGAUGUGAAAUCCCCGGGCUCAACCUGGGAACUGCAUUUGUGACUGUAGAGCUGGAGUACGGCAGAGGGGGAUGGAAUUCCGCGUGUAGCAGUGAAAUGCGUGGAUAUCGAGAAGAACACUUAGGGCGUAGGCAAGACUCUGGACAAAUGCUGACGCUCAUGCACGAAGGCUAGGGUAGCGAACGGG
rnacentral:rRNA from 1 species